AGCCCCGCUGGAGCCGCAGGAAGUGGAGUUGCUGGGAUCUCUUCUUGUCCGCACCUCCUGCCGAGAGUGCCCUUUGUGAGAGCACUUCCUGGCCUAAUUAAGCAGGGCCCUCUGUGUUCAGAAAGGAUUCCAGGCCGUUCUAGGUGAUGGCGCAGCUCCACGAAACCCGAGCCGGGUGAAGGAUUGAGGUCCAGGCUGUAAUGCAGGCUGGGCCCAGAGGAUGAUGACAGCUUCGUCGUCAAAACCCAGGCGAGGGGGCUUCCCUGGUGGCGCAGUGGUUAAGAAUCCGCCUGCCAAUGCCGGGGACACGGGUUUGAGCCCUGGUCUGGGAAGAUCCCACAUGCCGUGGAGCAGCUAAACGUGCGGGCCAUAACUACUGAGCCUGUGCUCUAGAGCCCAUGAGACACAACUACUGAAGCCCAUCGCCUAGAGCCCGCGCACCGCAACGAAGAGUAGCCCCCGCUCGCCUCAACUAGAGAAAGCCCGCGCGCAGCAACGAAGACCUAACGCAGCCAAAAAUAAUAAAUAAAUAAAUUAAAAUUUCUUAAAAAAGCCCAGGUUUGGGGAAAUGCGGUCACAUCUGAGCCUGACAGUCAGCCCAGCCGCCUGCCUGGCAAUGGUGUCAGAAAGGGAAACAGCGUGUCUGAUGGAAAGGGCUCCCUUCCCACCACUGUCCCUACACUGGGCCUUGCUCAGGGGCACUCAGCUUCGCCUGCAUGGGCAGCCUUCCACCUCUCUCACUGGGCAGAAGACCACUGGCCCUGCUUCCAGACCCAGCAUGGAUGCCCCUGCCAGCCUCCAGCGUCAGGGCCAGAUGCCUCCCCAGAGUCCGGCCAGCCCCCCAGGGCUCCUGGGGCGGCCAGCUGAGCGGGAGCCCUGACCUCACCUCCCGGUGCCCUGGGCCAGCGCAGAGCCCGGUGCCGAGAACCCAGUAAGUAUUUGCUGCUAACAAGCUUGUUGCACUUGAUUUUGUGCCACCGCCUCGCUACGUCUCCUACACGUAUCCUCUCGUUUCACUCUGACAGUUAGGUGGUGACGUGGGGGCUGUCGUUACUCCCACUUUACAGAUGAGGAGACUGAGAUUGGGGGUCUGGCCUGAGGACACCUCCUAACUCGGGCCCCUGGAGGCUGUGAGGCAUUUUCUGUUUAUGGCCUUCUUCUGGGAUUCUUGUUCUCCGUAACCAGAUGGUGAGUCCUGGAAGGAGCAGGGAAACGCCGUGUCCACGGCGCUCCCCGUGUCGGGGGACCCUGUGGAGCAGCUUUGGUCGGUGGCAGAGGGGGCUUCACAAUGCCCUCGUCAGCGGUGGGCUUGACCGCAGUGGAGGCGUCCAUGGCCCAGGACUGCGGCCGCUCAGGCGUGGGGCUCCCCUCAGGCCACGGCCCCUUCGCCACAGAGCAGAGGGCGGAGCGGAGCUGCCUCCUAUCCCUGCCUCGUUUUCCGUUUACUAAAAACCUUCGCCUUGGGCUUCUCUGGUGGCGCAGUGGUUGAGAGUCCGCCUGCUGAUGCAGGGGACACGGGUUCGUGCCCCGGUCCGGGAAGAUCCCACAUGCCGCGGAGCGGCUAGGCCCGUGAGCCAUGGCCGCUGAGCCUGCGCGUCCAGAGCCUGUGCUCCGCAACGGGAGAGGCCACACGGUGAGAGGCCCGCGUACCGCAGAAGAAAAACAAACUUCGCCUCUGUUCUGCAGACAAGGUGAGACCAAGGUCCCGACGUGGGCACCUCCCACCGGGGCAGCACCGGAGGUCCCGUGGGUGGCAGGCCCGCGUCCCGGCCCGCCGUCUCCUCCUCGACCACGUCUUCGUCCCAGGGCUUGUCCGAGCCGCUCGCCUCGCUGGAAGGUCGGGGAGCCUCCUUCUGAGCUUGCUGCUCCGUAUACCCCGGGCGGCCAAGCACCUCGGCCCAAAGCGGCGACUUUCAGCCAGGGGCACCGCGUGCUUCCCCUCUCCACACUGGCCGGGUUGCAGACAUCCUGAUGGUCGUAACUGGGGCCACAAGGAGGGACCGCUCAGCCCCAAAUGUCGGUAGCGCUGGCUGAGGACCCUGCCCCACAGCUGCAAGGAGGGAGGCCGCCGGGCCCGCGUGGACCUCCUCGGGCACCGGCUUCGGCGCCCUUUGCUCCUGCCACUUCCACCGUCCCUUUUCCAUCUGUGUUUCCACCUUGCCUCCCUCAGGAUAUUAUUAUUGUUGGGCACCGGCGGGGCCACAGCAGAGGGCUGGUGUUUUAUUGUGGACAUUACCUUUUUCGCCUUACCUAACCGCACCUGGAAAAUGAAGGGGAGCUAAAGCUGUGACGUAGAUAGUAUCCAGUUUACCGAUGGGAACACCGAGACUCAGAGAGGCUAUGUAACAUGUCCAGGGUCACACAGCUGUCCGGUUUCCAGCCCAGCUCCGAGCCUUGCGGUCUGGCACUCCCGCUGCCCCCCACAGGGCGGCAUCGGGCUGUGCAGACAAACCUAACACAGUCGGCACGCAGACGGUACCUUGCUUUCCUCAAGCAAGUCCAUUCCCCGCCUUGUGCUCUGAGGGGAUGUGGAAGCUUCGGGGUGAGACGGGCUGGUGCGUCUUCCGAGGUGCAGCGUGUUCAGCUUCUCAGAGUGAAGCUGUUUGUGUCUGGGAGCCCGAGAGAGACAGAAGCAGCUGGGGGCGGAAAAAGCCACACGGCGGGACCGGCGGUCCUUCUGCCUCUGCCACAGGUUCUGACACCGGAGCAAAACCACCAGAGAGAGAUUGGAAGGGGGUCGCCCUCCCUCGCCCUACUCAGAAAGGCUUCUUUGGGGCCCAUAGGCUCGUCUCUCUGUGCGAACACCUGCGAUGCCGUCCGCGCCGGGUGCAGUGGCCAUGUGGGCACAGCGCCGUGGUGGGCAGUGCCCCUGCUCUGGGUUGGCACUGGCACAAACGCACAUCGGUGUUCCUGGGCCUCUGUCUGCCGUGUACCCUGUGUGAGCCGUGCUCCCGCUGAAGCCCGGUUAAAACUUUUUGAUCGUGAGGGAGCUCUGGAAGCUUCCCUCUUAUGGGUCAACGGCUCCAAAGGGCAGAAGUGGCAGAAUCGUCUCGAGCAUUUCCUGUGAUUUCUAGGGAACAAGGGCCCCUCCACCAGACUUCCUCCCUCCAGGCAUCUUCCCUGAGCUCCACUUGAUAAAAGUAAGGCCAGGGGCCUUGGGCAUCAGAUGGAGUUCCCUUCUAUUUACCAAAUGUUUCCUGAGCACUUACUCUGAGACUGACGUUGCUGGACCCAAAGGAAUACAGACACGACCUAGUCCGGGGUGAGCUGGAAACCCCUGGAGGACACUUCUGUCCUGUGUCUCCCAUCUCCCCGCAACCUCAGAGAACAUGGCAAAAGGGAUCAUUACAUUGACUGACGAAUGCAUUUCAA